UCGGCAAGUACUCAGAUCCAAGUAUCGGUAUCGGAUCGGUUUGAAAAAAUUGGUAUCGUUGCAUCCCUACACUCAACCGAUGCAAUGGAAGUUUGUGGCAUCAGAUCUCAAUCCAGCUGACCAUGCGUCGCGCAGACUGAAGGCCAAAGACCUUAUUACCUCCAACUGGUUUAGCGGUCCAAGUUUUCUUUGGCAAGAGAAACUUCCCCAUGGAGAAGUCAAGGUGGGAAAACUUGAUGCAGAGGAUCCAGAAGUACGCAAAGCUGGUGUACUCCAUACAACUACGGAAACAUUCUUUGGCAGAACGUUUUCUGAAAUUCUCCAGUUGGCUAAAGUUGUUGCCAUACACCCGAGUGAAGAUGGAUGUAUACGCAAAGUACAACUGUUAAUGAGUGACUCAUUGAUAGAUGACCAUGGAAAGAGACUGAGUAAACCAGUUCUACUUGACAGACCUAUACACAAGACUGUGACACUAUUAGAAGCAGAUUAGUUUACAUUUCAUAAGUUCAUGGGUGAAAAUCACAAGUGAUUUGGUGGGAGUGUAGCUGCCGUCAUAGGCAACUCUCGCAUUUAAGUUCAUUUUAUUGGAUUUGAUGUUGAAACAAUUAGUAGUUGAAAUAUUAAGAAAUAAUAAAUAAAUAGUAAUUCAUGUUUGUUGAUUAGAUUUAUAUGUUUAAAUGUGUUAUUUGUGCUAACUGUGCAAUUAGAUAGGAACCUUUUCUAUAGUUCCGUUUGUUGUUGCUAAGAGGGUAUUUUUUGGCUGUCACACUCAGCAAGCUAAUUAAGAGACGAGCCACGAGGUUUGCACGUCUACAGUAAGAUAAAUAAAAGAGUGCCUUUUUUGGACUACCCCACGACGUAAGGAUUAAAGUUUUAUUCCCUUUGAGUGAGGCCAAUGAGUUCUGACGGCAUUGUAUCGGCUGUGGUUGGACAUCAUUACAUGUUAAGGCAUGUCGAAGAAUCCUCCUGUCCGAAAUAAAUGUCAGUUUAAAAGCAAA